UGCCCUUCGUAACGGCGAAGUGAAGCGGCAACAGCUUCAAAUUUGAAAUCUGGCGCAAGCCCGAGUUGUAAUUUGUAGAGGAGGCUUCAGGGCAGCGACCGGUCUAAGUUCCUUGGAACAGGACGUCAUAGAGGGUGAGAAUCCCGUAUGCGACCGGUUGGCACCCGUCACGUAGCUCCUUCGACGAGUCGAGUUGUUUGGGAAUGCAGCUCUAAAUGGGAGGUAAAUGCCUUCUAAAGCUAAAUACCGGCCAGAGACCGAUAGCGCACAAGUAGAGUGAUCGAAAGAUGAAAAGCACUUUGGAAAGAGAGUUAAAAAGCACGUGAAAUUGUUGAAAGGGAAGCGCAUGCAACCAGACUUGUCGGCGGUGUUCAGCCGGUCUUCUGACCGGUCUACUCGCCGCCGGCAGGCCAACAUCAUUUGGGAGCGCCGGACAAAGGUGGGAGGAAUGUGGCCCCUCGGGGUGUUAUAGCCUCCUACGCAAUACGGCGCCUCCCGAGUGAGGUCCGCGCUUCGGCUAGGAUGUUGGCGUAAUGGUUGUCUGCGGCCCGUCUUGAAACACGGACCAAGGAGUCUAACAUCUAUGCGAGUGUUCGGGUGUCAAACCCCUACGCGUAAUGAAAGUGAACGGAGGUGGGAACUUUUUGUGCACCAUCGACCGAUCCUGAUGUCUUCGGAUGGAUUUGAGUAAGAGCAUAGCUGUUGGGACCCGAAAGAUGGUGAACUAUGCCUGAAUAGGGUGAAGCCAGAGGAAACUCUGGUGGAGGCUCGCAGCGGUUCUGACGUGCAAAUCGAUCGUCAAAUUUGGGUAUAGGGGCGAAAGACUAAUCGAACCAUUGACACACCAGUCCACGGAGUACUAGGUGGUUAACAGGGCCGGCAAAGGCGAGCCCUAGUCCCCCCGGGGGCGACACUGUCAAAUUGCGGGGACCUCCUAACGCCUCAUGCUACCGCGGCCCGCCGAAAGGCGAGGUGCAGCACCCGGUUAACGACCGCGGGGACGGUAACAACGCAGAGGAUGCGACAAUGGAUGAUCCGCAGCCAAGCGCUAACGCCUUGCGGCCACGCGUGCAGUCCAACGACUUGACGGCAGUGGGUCCGGCGCCAGCCGGGCUUAAGAUAAAGUCUACGCCCGCCCCCGAAAUGGGGCGGGAAAGGAACCGG
rnacentral:rRNA from 1 species